rnacentral:rRNA from 1 species
ACGCUCGACACCUACGGGAGGCAGCAGUCGGGAAUAUUGCGCAAUGGGAGGGAACUCUGACGCAGUGACGCCGCGUAUAGGAAGAAGGUUUUCGGAUUGUAAACUAUUUUAGACAGGGGAAAGAAUAAAGACAGUACCUGUAGAAUAAGCUCCGGCUAACUACGUGCCAACAGCCGGCGGUAAUCUGAGGCGGGCUGGACAAGGC